CGUGGGUAACCUGCCCAAGAGAUCGGGAUAACACCUGGAAACAGAUGCUAAUACCGGAUAACAACAGAUGAUGCCUAUCAACUGUUUAAAAGAUGGUUCUGCUAUCACUCUUGGAUGGACCUGCGGUGCAUUAGCUAGUUGGUAGGGUAACGGCCUACCAAGGCGAUGAUGCAUAGCCGAGUUGAGAGACUGAUCGGCCACAUUGGGACUGAGACACGGCCCAAACUCCUACGGGAGGAGCAGAC
rnacentral:rRNA from 1 species